rnacentral:rRNA from 1 species
UACAGAGGGUGCAAGCGUUAAUCGGAGUUACUGGGCGUAAAGGGCGCGUAGGCGGUUUGUUGGGUGUGAUGUGAAAGCCUUGGGCUUAACCUGAGAAGUGCAACGCAAACUAAUAAACUGGAGUAUAUGAGAGGGUGGCGGAAUUUCCGGUGUAGCGGUGAAAUGCGUAGAGAUCGGAAGGAACGUCAAUGGCGAAGGCAGCCACCUGGCAUAAUACUGACGCUGAGGCGCGAAAGCGUGGGGAGCGAACAGG